CAAAAUACAAAUAAAAAUUCAAACUAAACAAAUAUUAUAUUAAAUAGUUUGAAAAUGACAAAAUAACCCCUCAAAACUCCAUAACAGUGCUGGGAAUCCCUUCUGGAACUGCCUGAAGUCGUGGCGGCGCGUCCUUCCACGCACCACCGUCACUGGCGGCGCGUAGGUUUACACGCCACCUCAGGAAAAGCCAAGCAUCUGGUGGAUCCGGCCGACUUUCUUCUCCUCUUCCCUUCUACACCGGCAGUGAGAAGCAAGGUCACCUGCAAAGCCAAGAAAAUGCAACAACCAGUUGAUUUUAGUUCUGUUUUAGAUCUGCUUUUAUAUUUAUUUUUCUGCCCCCGUCGUUCCUUUCUUCUUCCCCGAUGGCAGAUCUACUGCAGAGUGGCCGUUCGGUCGGCGGCUUUUGCAUAGUCUGUUGUGUUUGGGCCUCUGCAGGAGGCGACAAGCUAGGUCUACUGUCGGCCGAUUGCUGUGGAAGAGAUCGAAGGAGAAAAAGAUCUGUUGGAAUGGGGGAAGCUCUGUUGGCUGAGGGGCUGGUCUUGGGUUGGCGUUGGCUGCGAGACUUUGGUGGAA